rnacentral:rRNA from 1 species
CGUAUCACUUAAAGCGAUUCAGCGGAUGACGAUUGACGGAGCGAAGCGACGUCAAAGCGUAUACAAAGUCGAGUCGGUUUAAGGAUACGUUCGUUGGGUAGGGGAGCGUUCUGUAAGCCUGCGAAGGUGGCCUGUGAGGGUUGCUGGAGGUAUCAGAAGUGCGAAUGCUGACAUAAGUAACGAUAAAGCGGGUGAAAAGCCCGCUCGCCGGAAGACCAAGGGUUCCUGUCCAACGUUAAUCGGGGCAGGGUGAGUCGACCCCUAAGGCGAGGCCGAAAGGCGUAGUCGAUGGGAAACGGGUUAAUAUUCCCGUACUUGGUGUUACUGCGAAGGGGGGACGGAGAAGGCUAUGUUGGCCGGGCGACGGUUGUCCCGGUUUAAGCGUGUAGGUGUGUGUUCCAGGUAAAUCCGGUUCACUUUAACACUGAGGCGUGAUGACGAGGC